rnacentral:rRNA from 1 species
UACGAAGGGGGCUAGCGUUGUUCGGAAUUACUGGGCGUAAAGCGCACGUAGGCGGAUCGUUAAGUCGGGGGUGAAAUCCUGGAGCUCAACUCCAGAACUGCCUUCGAUACUGGCGAUCUCGAGUCCGGAAGAGGUGAGUGGAACUCCUAGUGUAGAGGUGGAAUUCGUAGAUAUUAGGAAGAACACCAGUGGCGAAGGCGGCUCACUGGUCCGGUACUGACGCUGAGGUGCGAAAGCGUGGGGAGCAAACAGG